CUCCCCUUCUUUCUCACCAUGGGGAUUGCUUAAGAGUACUCAGGUGUCCUCCAGCUUAGUUCCACAUUCUCCAACUGUCACUCUGGCACUCCUUCAACCUGGAUUCGAGCCCCCACAUAUGGGCACCACUUGCUGAGACCAGCUCAGUUGGGAAGACCCUAGCGUAGCAGCGCUAGAGGAAUUAAAGACACACACAGAGAGAUACAGAGGCAGUCACGUUUGUUGCAUGAUUGGAAUGGAACCUAAGAAGAGACCAUGCUACAUUCUCAUGAGACAUGAAGACUUGCUGGCACCAAAGUCUGAAAUACUGACUUCAUUAGUCACGUAGAUGAUGUUGUGGAAAGUUUCUCACUACCAACCUGGAAGGAUAUGGCUGUGGACUUUACCUAGGAGGAGUGGCAGCAUCUGGACAAUGCUCAGAGGACCCUGUACAGAGACAUGAUGCUGGAGACCUAUAGCAUCCUCAUAUCAUCGAGGCAUUGCAUUACCAAACCUGAAGUGAUCUUCAAGUUGGAGCAAGGAACAGAGCCACAGAGGGGAGAAGAAGUCCCAGAUCAGAGCCUUGCAGAUGUUCAGAUAGUUAAUGACCUAAUUGAGAGGAGCCAAGAAAGUCACAGUGGAUGCUUUGGCACAUCGUCAUCAGCAACAGCAUUACAUCAACAAAGGAGAGAGUUGAACUAGAAAAAACAUUUAAUUUGAACUCAAAGGAUAUUUUAAAUUUGAUUAUAAAUAAUGGAAACUAUUUAGGAA